rnacentral:rRNA from 1 species
UCGCCUACGGGGCGCAGCAGUGGGGAAUAUUGGGCAAUGGGCGCAAGCCUGACCCAGCAACGCCGCGUGAAGGAAGAAGGCUUUCGGGUUGUAAACUUCUUUUCUUGGGGACGAAGAAAGUGACGGUACCCAAGGAAUAAGCCACGGCUAACUACGUGCCAGCAGCCGCGGUAAUACGGAGGAUGCGAGCGUUAUCCGGAUUUAUUGGGUUUAAAGGGUGCGCAGGCGGACCAUCAAGUCAGCGGUAAAAUCGUGGGGCCCAACCCCAUCCCGCCGUUGAAACUGGCGGGCUUGAGGGAGCGAGA